rnacentral:sRNA from 1 species
GCCAGGCGUGGUGGAGCUCACCUGUCAUUCCAGCAACUGGGGGAGGCAGAGGCAGGAGAAUGGCAAGUGACCAGCCUGGGCAAUUUAGUAAGACUCUAUCUCAA